GUCCACGCCCUAACUAUGGAUACUCGACAUACGCGAUACACAGUGUGUGUCUGAGCGAAGCAUUAAGUAUCCCACCUGGGAAGUACGAUCGCAAGAUUGAACUCAAAGGAAUUGGCGGGGUCCGGCACAAGCGGUGGAGCAUGUGGUUUAAUUCGAUGAUACGCGAGGAACCUUACCUGGGCUAGAAUGCUGGGAGACCGUGGGUGAAAGCUCAUUUGUAGCAAUACACUGCCAGUAAGGUGCUGCAUGGCUGUCGU
rnacentral:rRNA from 1 species